rnacentral:lncRNA from 1 species
GUGAAAACACUCACCCCCCACAACCCCGAAGGAAGAAACCGUGAUGGGACGUUAAAAACACCGGGCAGGGGCCGAGCGGCGGGAACCGGGCAGGCGCGGGCCCCGCAGACAAGGCGCCGCGCGGCGGCUUGAGCGUCACACAGUCCGGCAAACUGGAUCCCGAGAGGACAAAGCCAAGGGCGCUACCUACAGCUUCAGCAGGGGAUCAAGGUGAUGGUGAGAGUGUGUGAUGACGCUGGCGGUUCUCCAAACGAGGCGCGCGGCGACCACACAGCGCAGCGGGGCCCUCGGGCGUCUCGCCAAAGGAAAGGUACGUUUUCGUCCACUCAGAAAACCGCAGGCAGGUGUCCGCGGCAGCGUUAUUUAGAGCAGCGCCUCGGCCGGGUUUUCCAACAUCCGCCUCUAAUCCCGAGGCUCUGGACACCAGCCAGUGUGUUCUGAUGCCACGGGCCUGGGGUUCGUGUCGGGGCCCCUGGUCGAGGGCCCAGCCCCACAGGACGGCCCCCACUUCCGACGCCAGCCACAUGUCCAGGGCCACCCGUGCUGCUGAUGGACCGGCUGUGGAUCGGGGUUCCCGUCCCCCCUCCCCAGGUUUGAUCACUUCCGGGACCGGCUUGCGGGGCUCAGGAGCGUGUUUUACUUAGUACACCUGCUUGUUAGAAAAGACGCCGCUCAGGAAGAGCGGGGGGGAGAGAUGCAGGGUCGGGGUGGGGUGGGGGGUGGGGGUGGAGCUUCCGUGCCCUCCUGGGUGCGGCCCCCUCCCGGCUGCCCACCAGCCAGAGCCCGUUGGUUUGGGGCUUCUCUAGAAGGUCCCUUUUGGAGGCGUGGCUGGUUAAACCACUGGCCACAGCGACUAACUCAUCCUCCAGCCCCUCUCCCUUCCCCAGAGGUGUCUAAUCGUGUCUGGUCUUUUCGGAGACCCGUGCCCAUCCUGGUGUGACCUAGGGGUCUGCAGCACAGGUCAUCUCAUUAGCUGACAAAGGACAUUUAUUAUUCCAAGAUGCCCAGGGUUUUAGGAACCCUGUGCCAGGGACCAGAACAAAGACUACAAAUUAAUUUGUUUCUUUAAUUUUUUUUUCUUUUUUUAGGGCCGCACCCGUGGCACACGGAGGUUCCCAGGCUAGGGGUUGCAUCAGAGCUGCCGCUGCCAGCCUACAUCACAGCCACAGCCACGCAGGAUCCGAGCCGUGUCUGCGACCUACACCACAGCUCACGGCAAGACCGGAUCCUUAACCCACGGAGCGAGGCCAGGGAUCGAACCUGCAACCUCAUGGAUACUAGUCAGGUUUGUUACUGCUGAGCCACAAUGGGAACUCCUAAUUUGUUUCUUAUAUCACGGGUGCCCUCUGGUCUCUGACUAGAGCCACUAGCAAAACCACUGUAAAAGUCAAGAGAUACUGCAGUUUCCACUGUGGCUCAGUAGGUUAAGAAUCUGACUGCAGCGGCUCAGGUCGCUGUGGAGGCACAGGUUCAGUCCCUGGCCGGAGUGGGUUAAAGGAUCUGGCAUUGCUGCAGCUGCAGUUUGGAUUCAAUCCCUGGCCAGGAACUUCCAUGUGCCGCGGGCGCAGCCAUUAAAAAAAAAGUCAAACCACAUUGGCACGUUGCCAGAGCCAGCCCAGUCCAUCACCCUGUGUGAGAAUGUCCCCAGGGCGAGGCCACACAGGAGCGGGCCUCACGAUGUGGUCAGAUUCCAAAACAGGAGUGCACCAGGCCCCGGCCCGCCUCUCAGGCCCUGGUGUAUGUGAGCUGUGGGACGCCCUUGUCCCCAGCCUCUUUUGGGCACUGACUCCCUUCCUUCCAGCACAAGCCCACGGGCCCAUCCCCUGACCCUUCACCCGCUGCCCACCUCCUCCGCGUGCACCCAGACUCCCGCCCGCGAGAUGGGUAACAGGUUCACAUGGAGCCGGUCUAGAUUGCAGGCCGCUGUGUGCACCCAGAGAGUGCCUGCCCUCAGCCCACUUCCGUCCAAGCAGGUGCGGGGCUCGUGGGCUCUCCGACCCCUGGGGGACGCCGCUGCUCCUGCUGUCGGCCCCAGGUUCGCACAGGGGGGCGGGGGCAGCACCCCCCCCCACACACACACACCUCUUCAGGCCCUGACGUCAGGUUCACAGACAGUGACAGUUUCUCGCCCGAGGUCAUCUCUGUUUCUGGCCCUUGUAGCUGCAGACCUGGUCAUUUUUGGCAUUUUUUUGGUGGUUUUUUUUUUUUUUUUUCUUGCUUUUUUAGGGCCGCACCUGCAGCAUAUGGAAAUGUGGAAGUUGCCAGGCUAGGGGCCGAAUCGGAGCUACAGCUGCCAGCUUGCCCCUGUCCACUCGUGCGGGGUGGGCGCCCUGCGGCCCGUCUCAGCCUCUCAGACCUGCGCUCAGGAGGGCAGCUCUGCCCGUGGCUGGGCGUGAGGCGCGGUCCAGCGAGUGCCUCGUGCUGAGGAAACCAUGGUCGGCCGCCCAGACGCAACACGUCUCUUCCCGUCUGCUCACCGCUUCUGAGCCUCUGCGUCCAGGGUGAGCGUCUUCCUGUCCCCCAGGCCCCCAGCCUCAGCCUGACCCUCCAGCUUCCGGGCACCCCCUGCACCCCAGGGAGCCCGCCCCACAGUCACUUGCCACCUGGGUCUGUAGUUGGUGGCGGCCCCUCUCCUGCUGGCAUUUUGUGCCUCGGAAGCUGUGGACCCAUCACUGCGUCACCGCGGGGGCCCUGUCCACUCACCUCGUGCACCCAGGCGCGUGCCUCAGCUGAGCACAGCAGGCACCUGCUUGCCGAUUCCAGAUUCCAGCGCCUUCUGAACCUGCCGAGGCUUCCCCUGAUGUUCCCGCCUGAGCACCCCCACGCCCCCAGAGUGAUUUCCGUGGGGCCCUCGUGGGCGUCCCUUUAACGGGCCAGGUAUCCGUAGCCUUCAUGCUGCCCUCAUGCUCGUUGCCGCUGCCCACGUGUCAGUAGAAACCCACAUGCAGGACUGUGCCCAGCAUUCAACCCUCCCACCGUGGCCGGCCGGCCGGCAGCCCGCCAGACGGAGGCCUGCGCCCUCCUCCUCCAUCCAGUCUGGCGCCUUCCAGACAGCAGGCAACUGCCGCCCGCAGCUCCUUGAUGGUCAGUGGAGAGCUGUUCGUGGGGCACCGUCUGCUGAAUCCAGCCGCUCCCCGGGCUGCGGGAAGCCUCCCGGGAGGCCAUGGCUCUGUCCCCAGAGUGUUCCUCCCUCGUCCUCUGGACGCUCUGGGCCCUUCAGUUUCUGUGAUCAUUCUCCGUCCUCCGACCCCGGGGUGGCUCCAUGGGGUCUGACGACAAGGUGCUAAACCCCCCGAAUGGAGGUUCCCUUGUCCAGAGUUCGGGCGUCGUGGCUGGGAGGGUCCCGUGGGCUCCAGCCCCGGUCUCGGCGGCGUGUGGCCAUCGCACAAGACCUGCCCGCCCGGCGCCUCUGCUUCUGUUUCCCCUGCUGGUGGGGGGCUCAGGCCCUCUUACUGGUUCCCAUUUAGCUGGGCCAGGGAACCCGGCUCGAAGGGCGGGCUUGCCCGCCUCCUUCGCGAGCUCGGGCAGGGGAAACGGCCCACAGGGGCAGAGCCCGACCCCCAGGCGCAAGCAGGCACCAGAGGCGCCGUCACUUCUCAGGAGCCUGUGCCGACAGCCCCGCUGUCCUCCCAACCCUGACCUUGAGUCCACCAAGCCCGGCUCCUCGCAGUGCUGCCCCUGGGACCUCACCUACAGGGUGUGGUUUCACUGGGGAGGGAAGCGCCCCCGGCUGUGGCCUCAUAUCCGUAAUCCCCAUGUCCUAAAUCAUGAAGUAAAGCCUGGCUGCACCCCUGCCACCCCUCACGCCCCGUACUCCCCCAAACCGCCUUUCCGAUUGCCGGCUCCACCAGCCGGUUGGUUUUGGCUCCAAGGGCCUGGGGGCUUCUGCACCGCGGCCUCCCGGCCCAUGUCCCGACCCGAGCACUGUGCCCACGCUGUUCGAUCCCUGGCCUCGCUCGCUCGGUGCGCUAGGGAUCCAGGGCUGCCGUGGCUGUGGUGUGGGCCGGCGGCGGCUCCCAGAAGGCUCUGGGUCUCCAGCAGACUCUCUUGUCGACUUCGACCUUGAUUGAGCUGCCUGAUCCCGGUCCCCAGGGGCCUCCAGGUCUGCCCCCUCAUUGUCACCUCCGCCCUCGCUGCUCCUUUCAUUCCUCCAAACUGGGGAAAACAGACCAGACUUCUUGGGGGCCCCUAAGUGUUGGGGGUCCCCUGGGCCCCGACCCCGAGAGCUCUGAGUGAAGACCUUUGUUUUGCCCCAUCGACGACCUUUCUCUCAAGCCAUUUCCUAGUCUCCCUCUGAUUUCCACGCCGCCAGGCAGAGUCCCCCGUCUUCCCCAUUUUAUUAUUAGUCAGUUAUGUUUUGAGGAGCGUCUGUGAAACCCAUGGAGCUGAGACAGCAGGUUCUUCCGUCCGCUUUCUUCCUGGGGGGGGGGGCGUGCAAGGGGGCUCCCCGUGCAGUUUGUUCCCACUGCCUGUGAACCUAUAAUUAUUUCAAAAUAAUUGGGAAAAAGUUGCAGGCUGCGAAAUUCGAGCACUUUGAUGAAGUGGAAACGUUGCUAGACAAUGACUGGAUCGAGUACACGCCCGAAGGAAUCGAGCGGAGCAGGUCCCGCGGACUCCCGCUGCGGCUCAGAGGAAACGAACCCGACGAGCACCCAAGAGGAUGCAGGUUCCACCUCUGGCCUCGCUCGGUGGGUUAAGGAUCCCGCGUUGCUGUGGCCGGGGCGCAGGUUGGCGGCUGCAACGCCGAUUUGACCCCUAGCCUGGGGACCUCCCUAUGCUGCAAGUGUGGCCCUAAAAAGACCAAAAGGAAAAACAAACAAACAAAAAGCCUUCAUGGCAACAUCGAGACUGGUGUUUGACCAACUCGCUGGGCACCAAGGCCUGACCGAGUUGACACGAAAUGAGCCAUCACACUGGAUAAAUGUGUGCUCAUCGUAUAAUUCUUUCUGCUUCUUUUCUGUAUUAAUGUUUUCAUUAAAAGGUAGGAGG